UACGGAGGGGACUAGCGUUGUUCGGAAUUACUGGGCGUAAAGCGCACGUAGGCGGAUUUUUAAGUCAGGGGUGAAAUCCCGGGGCUCAACCUCGGAACUGCCUUUGAUACUGCAAAUCUCGAGUCCGGAAGAGGUGAGUGGAAUUCCUAGUGUAGAGGUGAAAUUCGUAGAUAUUAGGAAGAACACCAGUGGCGAAGGCGGCUCACUGGUCCGGUACUGACGCUGAGGUGCGAAAGCGUGGGGAGCAAACAGG
rnacentral:rRNA from 1 species